GAUGAAGAACGUAGCGAAAUGCGAUAAGUAAUGUGAAUUGCAGAAUUCAGUGAAUCAUCGAAUCUUUGAACGCACAUUGCGCCCGCCAGUAUUCUGGCGGGCAUGCCUGUUCGAGCGUCAUUACAACCCUCAGGCCCCCGGGCCUGGCGUUGGGGAUCGGCGGAAGCCCCCUGCGGGCACAACGCCGUCCCCCAAAUACAGUGGCGGUCCCGCCGCAGCUUCCAUUGCGUAGUAGCUAACACCUCGCAACUGGAGAGCGGCGCGGCCACGCCGUAAAACACCCAACUUCUGAAUGUUGACCUCGAAUCAGGUAGGAAUACCCGCUGAACUUAGGCAUAUCAAUAAGCGGAGGA
rnacentral:misc_RNA from 1 species